AACGAACGCUGGCGGCGUGCCUAACACAUGCAAGUCGAACGGGAAGGCCCGGCCUAGGGGCGGAGCGCGAGGGGACAACGGGUAAGUAACCCUUGAGUACCGUGCCCCUGCCCGUGGGAUAUCCUAAGGCAACUGAGGCUAAUCCCGGCUAGGAUCUCUUGCCGCAGGGUGGGCGCGGGAAAGUUUCGGCGGUUGGGGGUGGACUCGCGGCUUAUCAGCUUGUUGGUUGGGUAGUGGCUUAGCAAGGCUAGGACGGGUAGCCUGCCUGAGCGGGGGACCGGCCCCACUGGGACUGAGAUGCGGCCCAGACUCCUACGGGAGGCAGCAGUGGGGAAUAUUGCACUAGGGGCGGAAGCCUGAUGCAGCACCGCCGCGUGCGGGAUGACGGCCUUCGGGUUGUGUACCGCUUUCGCCUGUGACGAAGCGUGAGUGACGGUAAUGGGUAAAGAAGCACCGGCUAACUACGUG
rnacentral:rRNA from 1 species